AUUGAACGCUGGCGGCAUGCCUUACACAUGCAAGUCGAACGGCAGCACGGGAGCAAUCCUGGUGGCGAGUGGCGAACGGGUGAGUAAUAUAUCGGAACGUGCCCAGUCGUGGGGGAUAACGUAGCGAAAGCUACGCAAAUACCGCAUACGAUCUAUGGAUGAAAGCGGGGGAUCGCAAGACCUCGCGCGAUUGGAGCGGCCGAAAUCUGAUUAGGUAGUUGGUGAGGUAAAGGUUCACCAAGCCGACGAUCUGUAGCUGGUCGGAGAGGACGACCAGCCACACUGGAACUGAGACACGGUCCAGACUCCUACGGGAGGCAGCAGUGGGGAAUUUUGGACAAUGGGCGCAAGCCUGAUCCAGCAAUGCCGCGUGCAGGAUGAAGGCCUUCGGGUUGUAAACUGCUUUUGUACGGAACGAAACGGUGAGCUCUAAUACAGUUUGCUAAUGACGGUACCGUAAGAAUAAGCACCGGCUAACUACGUGCCAGCCGCCGCCGUAA
rnacentral:rRNA from 1 species